rnacentral:rRNA from 1 species
UACAGAGACUGCAAGCGUUAUUCGGAUUCACUGGGCGUAAAGGGUGCGCAGGCGGCCAAGUGUGUGAGGCGUGAAAGCCCGAUGCUCAACAUCGGAAUUGCACCUCAAACUACAUGGCUAGAGCAUUGGAGAGGGUAGCGGAAUUCACGGUGUAGCAGUGAAAUGCGUAGAUACCUGGAGGAACACCGGUGGCGAAAGCGGCUCACUGGACCGUGUCUGACGCUGAGGUGCGAAAGCUAGGGUAGCGAACGGG